UUCUUUCAAUGCAGUCUGAAUAACAGUGAUAUCACAGAAGAAGAUUGUCGUGUUCUGGCGACAGCUUUAAAUUCAAACCCUUCAAAUCUGACAGAACUGAAUCUGAGUGGAACUAAACUCAGAAACUCAGGAAUGAAGAUCUUCUCAACUCUGUUUAAGAAUGAACAGUGUAGACUGAAAAAAAUGAAGUUUAAUUCCAUCUGUAUUACUGCAGAAAGUUGUGCUGUUUUGAUAUCAGCAUUCAAUUCAAAUCCUUCAAACCUGAUAGAGCUGGAUCUGAGUGGAAAUAAACUAGAAAACUCUGGAGUGACUAAAAUCUCCACUCUACUGGCAAACUUUCAUUGUACACUGCAGAUACUCAGACUUUCAGACUGCAGUAUCUCUGAAGAAGGUUAUAAAGCUCUGUCUUCAGCUCUG